CUCUUAGAAGGCAGGCCUGAUGACACUGUUAUGUAUCAGUCCAGGGCUCAGGACGCACAGGGUCGGGUAUUAGCUGAUUAUCUGAUUCCGUCAGCAGAGAGCUUUCAGCGAGUUCGCAGAGCCAGCCCCCAGAUUUCCUCACAGAAAUGCUAAGCUUAGACAGCUGCAAAGGGUCCUGGUAUGAAGUUCUGCCCCGGAAGGUGUCCUGGGUACUUAUAGUAUCAGCGUUGAAGGCAGAUCCUGCAGCUCUGAAACACCUUCCAAGCUUCAUGUUGCCACAUGGUUCUGGGAGAUUAGGCCAUGGGAAUCUGUGGUUUCCCUCACUCCGGAACUUGAACCUGUGAUUCCCUCUCCAGUUGGAGCCUUUAACACAGUCUACAGACAUAGUCUGGGCUGUUGAAAAGCUUUCCACCUGCAACCUUGCUGGGAGUGGAAGAGAAGGACAGGAGGGUCUCACUCUGUCACCCAGGCUGGAAUGCAGUGGGGCGAUCUCAGCUCACUACAACCUCCACCUCCCAGGUUCAAGUGAUUCUCCUGCCUCAGCCUCCUGAGUAGCUGGGAUUACAGAGGAGAAUACCUUCCUUUUCCUUUCUAAAUGGAGGACAGGAUUUGCAGAAGCUCUGAGUCUCUACUGGGAAAGAGAAAAAGAUCUGCAUGUUUCAUGGAUGCUGAAGCCGGAUUCUAAGAGGAAUGACAAAGUCAUUGCUAAUUGCAGCCAAUUACUCUAUCGGAUGGUACUGGUAGAGAAAAUGACUUCAAGUCUAGAGUUGCCUUGGAAAGAAUUACCAUACUGGUAUCACUUUCUUAUCUUCACUCAACCUCAUAAAGCUGGUGGUGUAAAGAGAGUGGCCAUCUUAUUUUCCAGGUGAAAAACACUAAGGCUGGCUGAUCUCAUCCCACAGAGGUCAGCCCCACACUCCAUUCUCCCAGAGUGUAAAAAAAAGAAAACAAAGCAAAACUGAGGCUGAGAGGGGGGACGUGGCUGGGUGCUGGUUCUUU
rnacentral:lncRNA from 13 species